UCUAGCCCCAAACAAAACAGGUUGAGCUUUUUCCUCCCCUCAGCAGCUCCUCUCUGGCUCGUGGCUGCCUUCUGAGUGUUGCAGACGGCGCCGGCCGGGAAGGGGGGCCUGGGCCAGCCCUGCCAGGACUGGGACGCUGCUGCUGGCGCCUGGCCCUCCAUCAGGCCAGCCUGUGGCAGGAGAGCGAGCUUUGCCGCGGCAGACGCCUGAGGAUGAUGCCCCAGCUGCAGUUCAAAGAUGCCUUUUGGUGCAGGGACUUCACAGCCCACACGGGCUACGAGGUGCUGCUGCAGCGACUUCUGGAUGGCAGGAAGAUGUGCAAAGACAUGGAGGAGCUACUGAGGCAGAGGGCCCAGGCAGAGGAGCGGUACGGGAAGGAGCUGGUGCAGAUCGCACGAAAGGCAGGCGGCCAGACUGAGAUCAACUGGCGGACAGUGGUGUCUUUGACGAGAGGGGAGCCCUGGAAGAGGAGAGGUUUGCAGGGCAGGUGCUGAGUCCGGUUUUGGACACGCUGAAUUUGAGCUCCCUGAGGGCCUCCUUUGACUCCUUGAAGCAGC
rnacentral:sRNA from 1 species